rnacentral:rRNA from 1 species
GAUGAACGCUGGCGGCGUGCUUAACACAUGCAAGUCGAACGGGAAACCUUUUAUUGCAGCUUCGGCAGAUUUAGCUGGUUUCUAGUGGCGGACGGGUGAGUAACGCGUGGGUAACCUGCCUUAUACAGGGGGAUAACAGUCAGAAAUGGCUGCUAAUACCGCAUAAGCGCACAGAGCUGCAUGGCUCAGUGUGAAAAACUCCGGUGGUAUAAGAUGGACCCGCGUUGGAUUAGCUGGUUGGUGGGGUAACGGCCCACCAAGGCGACGAUCCAUAGCCGGCCUGAGAGGGUGAACGGCCACAUUGGGACUGAGACACGGCCCAGACUCCUACGGGAGGCAGCAGUGGGGAAUAUUGCACAAUGGGGGAAACCCUGAUGCAGCGACGCCGCGUGAAGGAAGAAGUAUCUGGGUAUGUAAACUUCUAUCAGCAGGGAAGAUAAUGACGGUACCUGACGAAGAAGCCCCGGCUAACUACGUG